rnacentral:rRNA from 1 species
CUACGGGGGGCUGCAGUGAGGAAUAUUGCACAAUGGAGGAAACUCUGAUGCAGCAACGCCGCGUGGAGGAUGACGCAUUUCGGUGUGUAAACUCCUUUUAUAUGUCAAGAAAAUGACGGUAGCAUAUGAAUAAGCACCGGCUAACUCCGUGCCAGCAGCCGCGGUAAUACGGAGGGUGCAAGCGUUACUCGGAAUCACUGGGCGUAAAGGACGCGUAGGCGGGAUAUCAAGUCAGGUGUGAAAUCCUACAGCUUAACUGUAGAACUGCACUUGAAACUGGUAACCUAGAGUAUGGGAGGGGGAGAUGGAAUUAGUGGUGUAGGGGUAAAAUCCGUAGAUAUCACUAGGAAUACCUAAAGCGAAGGCGAUCUCCUGGAACAUAACUGACGCUAAGGCGUGAAAGCGUGGGGAGCAAGCAGGAUUAGAUACCCCUGUAGUC